rnacentral:rRNA from 1 species
CACGUAGGGGCCAAGCGUUGUCCGGACUUAUUGGGCGUAAAGAGCUCGUAGGCGGUUGGGUAAGUCGGGUGUGAAAACUCCAGGCUCAACUUGGAGACGCCACCCGAUACUGCUCUGACUUGAGUUCGGUAGGGGAGUGGGGAAUUCCUGGUGUAGCGGUGAAAUGCGCAGAUAUCAGGAGGAACACCGGUGGCGAAGGCGCCACUCUGGGCCGAAACUGACGCUGAGGAGCGAAAGCGUGGGUAGCAAACAGG